ACUAUAUAUCUUGAGUCACAAUGUCUAGAUGAGGUCAUGGAAUACUUGAGAUGAAAUUAAAGUGACCUGAACUCAAGAGGAGGCAAACAGCAUGCACAACACUCAGACAGUCCCAGUGACUAGGAAAUGUCUUCCUAAUCAGAAACAACCCCAUCUGGGAUUCCACAUCACCAGCUGACACCUUAGGUCAUGGAAAUGUUUCUGUGAUGUAAAAAAUUGUUAUGGUUGGGUAACUCCAGUAAAGAUUCUGUUUCGAAAAAAUCUGAAAUACAGACCACAAUAAAUUACAUAUAACACUAUAAGAAAGGGAAGAAUCCACAAGCAGACCGCCUGGUUCCUUAACAACACCAUGGACUUUUUGAACUUUGACUUUGAGGAGGAUGAAGAUGAGUAUGGCGAGAUGUCGGAAGGCAGCACGUCUGCAGAGAUCCUGUCUGUGACUGACACCACUGACAAAACAGAAGAGAAGUCAAGGGAUGAAAAUUCUGACACAGACCUUGAGAUAGAAGAUGUUGACCGAUCAUUUGCAACCAUAAAGGGUGCAGAACUCUACAUAGAGGCUUGCAAGCUGGUAGGAGUGGUUCCUGUCUCAUACUUCAUUCGUAACAUGGAAGAGCCCAUCAUGAACCUUAACCAUCAUGGGCUCGGACCCAAGGGAACGAAAGCCAUUGCCAUUGCUCUGGUUUCCAACACAACCAUCACCCACUUAGAGCUAGAAGAUAACUGGAUUCUGGGCGAAGGAGCUGCAUACCUGGUGCAGAUGCUGCGGGAGAACUGCUACAUCCAGGAGAUGAAUAUUUCCAAUAAUCAUCUCAACACAGAAGGAGCUGAAGCUAUCUGCAGGAUGUUCUACAAUAAUAUUUCGAAUAUCCGGGCUGUUCAGCUUUCAGGAAACAACUUUAGGGAAGAGACAGCACCAUAUUUUUCGGAAUCAUUAAUGGUCAAUUACAGAGUGAUAGAACUGGACCUCAGCCACAAUGAGUUUGCUGACAAGGGAGGAGAGCAGCUGGGACAGAUGCUGGCCAACAAUGAAUCGCUGGAGGUUCUGAACCUGAGUUGGAAUCACCUGCGCAUGAAGGGGGCUGUAGCCCUGAGUGCAGGCCUCAGGGCCAAUGGAGCAUUGAAGGUACUGGACCUUUCAUGGAACGGUUUUGGGAAUGAGGGUGCUCUGGCCCUUGGGGAAGCCCUCAAGGUCAACAAUGUGCUAAAUGAGCUGGACAUCAGUAGCAACCAUAUCAACAAUGAAGGGACGUUAAAGUUGUGCAAGGGGUUAGAAGUUAAUGGUACCCUUAGAAUCCUGAAGAUGUCCCACAAUCCCAUUACAGUAGAAGGCGCCAUUGCUCUCGUCUCAUGUGUCAGAAAGAACACAAGCACCAAAAUGGAAGAAAUCAAUAUUUCGAAUGUGCUGGUGAAUGAAGGCUUCAUCAGGUUGCUGGAUGUGGUCUGUGACAUACGGCCUGAACUAGAUGUCGUCUAUGGAGGGGUUGGAGGCCACGUUGCCCAUAAGAUUCCACCACGGCCAGAUGCAAUGAAGCUGAUUCAGAACUAUUUAGAUGAACACAAGUUGAGGCUCUGGGACUUCUUUAGGAAUAUGGACAAAUAUGGCAACAUGAAGAUUCCCGUGGCGGAGUUUCGAAGAACCAUGAUGCUGCAAAAAAAGAUCCCCUUGGACCGGGUACAGGUGGUGGAGCUGGUGCGUAAGCUAGACCAAAGCAGGACGGGGUACGUGGACUACAGUAAUUAUAAAGUUGAGGAGCCAGAAAAGAAGCCUGAGGUGGUGGAAGAGGAAGAAGGCUAAUCAGGCCCAGGAGUCAGGUCAUCUGGAUGAGCCCUUAGCUAGAGAUACAGAGAACCGUUGAGCGGCUGGGUCACCAUGUCAAAAGUUUAAAGGUUGGCUUCUUAAUCGCAGAGAACAAAGCGAGCCCAGGAGGACUGUAUAUUGUACUUAUUUCAAACAUCUGAAUUGGCUCUUGGUUUCCCGCGUUCAAGGAUGACGAUCCAAUCAAAGGGCUGUUCUUUCUUUAAAGGCUUUAUCCAGCCUCUGUAGAUGGAGAGAAAGAAGGGCAGGAAUGGAAUAAAAUUGAUGCAUUGGCUAA